rnacentral:rRNA from 1 species
UACGUAGGUGGCAAGCGUUGUCCGGAUUUACUGGGCGUAAAGAGCACGCAGGCGGUUUGGCAAGUCGGAUGUGAAAACCCGGAGCUCAACUCCGGGCGUGCAUCCGAUACUGCCCGACUAGAGGUAGGUAGGGGAGAUCGGAAUUCCUGGUGUAGCGGUGAAAUGCGCAGAUAUCAGGAGGAACACCGGUGGCGAAGGCGGAUCUCUGGGCCUUACCUGACGCUCAGGUGCGAAAGCUAGGGGAGCAAACAGG